CAGAAACUCUCUGCAGAUACGAGACACUAACACGCCUUUUCUCCACAUUCCAGCCUCCCUCUCUGUCUGUUUACGGCUUCUUACGCCUUUUACGUCUUUGUCUCGUCUCGCUGCGUCUGCCGUGCGUGAUGAGCUCUGACGCCAGAUAAAAAUACAUUUUUUUAGCUACAUUCGAAUAUCUCCCUGACGUCUGUUAGCUAGCAUUAGCUCUCAGGUGUUUGAGUUAAUCAGCAUGUAGUUUCAGAUGUUUGACGCUCUGUAACUUGUAGUUUCUGUCUUUGUAAUCAGCUCGAUGUUCUGUGAAAUAAAAGCAGGCUCAGAAAACAUCGUUAUGAAAUGAACCAUUUUCAGCACAAGUCGUCUCUUUAGCUACUCGUGUUUUACUCAAGUGGUUUUUAGUCUCAGCUGACUGACUGACUGCAGCGUAACAUAAUAAAAUAACUCAGCUGUCGACUUGAUUCCUUCCAUGUAAAGCCUUCAGCGCUCGUUUGAACAUGUUGCCGUGUUCCGUCUGCAGGUUUUGAAACUCCAGUCCAGCCUGAAUGGAGCUGGUUUGACUCGCGAGCGGCGGUCGUGGUUCUGCUCGCUGCUCACACACGGCGCUUCAGUCGAUUUUGACAGGCAAUUAGGAAAAAAAGGCCCACAGAAAUAUUUCUCAAACAAAAGCUCUUGAUAGCUUAAUGGCUGGUAAAUCCAGGCGUCCUGCAGGCCGGAGCCAGGUGGGAGGAUCAGGGGCACCUCCAGAGUCAGGCCUGCAGAUCUGAGCCGGGCCAAACCAGAACACAGCUUACACUGGAUUUUACAGUCAUACGGCAGAUUUAAAACACACACAAACAUUUGACUUCUGUCUUUUUGUCUGAGUGGUUUAAUCUGUAACUCUUUCCUGGGUCAGUAAGCUCCUAUUGGCUGUGAUGGAAACACCAGCUGGACGAGUCGCACGACGCCGCGAGGUCGGCACGCAAAUGCUUCUCAAUCCAACGUUGUUAAAGUAAUGUUCAUACAUCGUUUUCUGGCUUUGAAAGAGAUCAAAGUGAAACUUAUUUUAAAAGGUAACCAUGGUAACACUAAACACUGUGUUUAGUGACGUUCUCUUUUGGACCAUAUUCGUAGUCUUGCGGUUUUUCCUCUUCAGAGCGACUCGUGGUUUUGUUCCUUUGCGUCUGCAGGAUGUUGUUCCUCCAUCGCUGUUCAGAACAUCGUCCAGUUUCAUGAACGUCUGAGCGACCGACUCGUCGGUUUACAGACUAGUCGAUAUUUCUCCGACACUUUUCAAACCUUUCCUGUCUGAACGAGAUCUGUCAGACCCACAAAGUGUGUUAUUUCUGUUGCCGGGGAUAAUUUAGCAUCCUGACGACUGUCGACAGAUGAACUGCGGGGAUUACCAGCCGACCUCUGGAGGAGACGCACGCUCUCUCAUCCACUUUUGUAUUUUUAGAGUUUCUUUUCUUUGACUUUUCUGUGUUUGAACAUGAACUCAACAACAAUUCAACACAACCGAGAAACACACAGGAGAAGCUGUCUGCUCUCCACUAAAACCUCCAGACACUUGGAAGGAUCUGGAAGAGACAAUAAACGCCGUCCCAACAACCAUCAUCUCUGCAGGUCUGGACCGUCUGAACAGGAGAGCUUCAUCCGGCUGAAAGCCUCGAACAUGAGCGCCGAGAGCUGCAGCCUCACUUUGGUCUGAAAACAUCAGACUGACCUGAGAUCUGUCUGAGUUUCCUUCAGAAGACGAUGGGUCGCAGGGGGGCGGAGCCAAUCCCAGCUGGCACUGGGCCAGCAGCGGUCUACACCUUUGACGGGUCGGCACUUCAUCACCAGACUACAAACAAGAAGUGAUAUUUUAAAGAAAGAUGUCGGCUCUGAUGGAGCUCGGUCUUCCCUCUGUUGACAACAGCGGAGUGUCGUCAGGAUCAACGAUCUGCAUCCAUCACAGAAACGUAGUGGAGAAGCAGAAAAUGGAAACACUCAAAUAAAAAGUAUUUAAAUUGUACUUGAGUAAAUGUACUCAGUUACAUUCUGUCACUGGAUCUUUGUACAGCUGAUCAGUAACGAUCGUCUGUCAGCGUUCCUCCGUGUUCACAUCCUGCUAGCUGGACGCCUAUCGGACAUGUUGGAUUUCCCAAGUGCUUUGGGAGUCUCUCGACCAAUCAGAGGUCAGCGCGUCAUCAGAGGGUGACUGUCACUGACAGGGACAACCGCCUGCUGGGUCCUAAAGACAGCAGGGUAUCCUGUCAGAGGAGACGUGAUGUGCUGUGUUUCUACGUUUGUGGGAGUGAAACUCUGAAUAGCUGCUUCAACUUUGGUAUUUUUGGUGAUUGGAAAAGAUUUCAAGAAAAUUCAAUCUUCCCUUUGUUUUUUUCUUCCUUCAUCUUUAUGGUCGUUUGGUUAUUUACACAUUCAUGUAACAUCUCUGAAGCUGAAACUGUGACAGCUCAGGCAGACAGUGGCGUAAUCUUAUGAUAAUAUAAUAACUUUAUUUAUAGAGCACCUUUAAAAUCAGUUUACAAAGUGCUUUAACAGACACGUGAA